CCUCAGCCUGUGGUGAGCUCGGUGCUGUUCGUGGGCAGUUCACAUUACUAGUCUUGACUGAUUUGGAAUUUAGACGUGUCUCGGAUCUGGUUGUGGAGAGAAAAGACAAAAGAGCGUGAAGUAUGAGUGCAAGAGUAAGAUCCAGAUCCAGAGGAAGAGGAGAUGGUCGAGAAGCUUCUGGUUCGGUUAAACCUGUGAUUGUUCUAAAGAACAGUGAUAAAAAAUCUCAAGAGAAACCACCACCAACUAAGAGUCAGGAUAUUGAAACUGGACAAGAAGAAGAAGAAGAAGGAAUAAUUGUGGUUGAAAUUGAAGAUGAACCUGAACUUGAUGUUGAUUGCCUGGGAAUGAAUAUGAAAAGUACUGUGUGUGAGGGUAAAGAUGCCCCUGAUAUGAAAGAGAAGAUUCCACGUAGACUGUGCUAAAAUUCCGGAAACAGGUGAUAUGCAGUCAUAAGUUAAAAAGAAGAUGAACCGAAGCCAUACAUGUUGUUAUUGUAUUAAAAAUUUGACUUGUUAAAUUUUCUUAAUAAAGUUUUGCUGUUUUCUCUGAA